GAGACGUAUAAACACCCAGAUCUGCUAAUUCUGAUAACUGAUGAUAAAAUCCUCAGGCCUCUUA
rnacentral:tRNA from 1 species